UACGGGGGGGGGCAAGCGUUGUUCGGAAUUACUGGGCGUAAAGGGCGUGUAGGUGGCCAACUAAGUCCGACGUGAAAUCCCCAGGCUUAACCUGGGAACUGCGUCGGAUACUGGAUGGCUUGAAUUCGGGAGAGGGAUGCAGAAUUCCAGGUGUAGCGGUGAAAUGCGUAGAUAUCUGGAGGAAUACCGGUGGCGAAGGCGGCAUCCUGGACCGGCAUUGACGCUGAGGAGCGAAAGCCAGGGGAGCAAACGGG
rnacentral:rRNA from 1 species